GAGAUGACUCUCGGCAACGGAUAUCUUGGCUCUCGCAUCGAUGAAGAACGUAGCAAAAUGCGAUACUUGGUGUGAAUUGCAGAAUCCCGUGAACCAUCGAGUCUUUGAACGCGA
rnacentral:rRNA from 1 species